UAAAGAGUGCCAGGCAACGGCCAAUGGCUUCUACAAUCCCUUUCAUCCUGGACAGUCCAGUGUUGUGAUACCCUGACACCAAGACCCUUCCUUGGUUGUCUGGCACAGUGCUGCCACAUACCAUCUCAGGAACUUUCAUUUAUUUCCCUUUGUGUCCAAACAUCAGAAAGGCUUUCUGAGUUGCUUGCCAAGGUGUUCUUCAGCCUUCCCUAGGCUAAACUUCUCCAUUGGAUCAAUAGCAGGUGGUCAACAAAGACAAAAACACCAUCUUCAGAAUGACUCAGAUCAUCCUCUUGGGCAGCCCUUUUUGGAUAUCUCUAUGAAAUUCUGCAGCUGAAAGCUGACACGCAUAAUUAUUUCCUGUUAGAUACUGAAGAAAAAAAAAAGCCCAGGAGAUAUUGUCGAGACUGUUUCUGGGGUGUGAUUGGGGGAUAGGAGAUGAAUGGUGUCAGAAUUGGAACAUGAAGUAGAACUUCCAGUAACCCCUAGGAGCAUCAAGUGACCCAGAGAGGUAACCCCCUCCACCAGGGUCCAUUGCAUCCAUUGCUCUCUCACAGCAACUGAGGCUCAUGGGACUGGAGUGGAGUCGGUAGGAAGGAACAGUCUUUGAAGUUAGAUGCGCCAGGUUGUAACCCCACUUCCACCAAUUGGAAUGUACUGGUCUUCUGAGUAUACUGAAUU
rnacentral:lncRNA from 1 species